UCUGAGAAGAGCGGGAGGAGGUGGCGGCCUUGGGAAGAUGUAAGUCGGGGUAGGAAUCCGGCCGCAUCCGACAUUUGGGGACCUUCUGCCAGGCUUGGUGGGACGCAUCGUGGAGCCGGUUGCGUUCCGCAGCUCCGCAGUGAGGCAGAGACCCGCCAGCGAGGCGCAGAGCCCGAAGAGAGUGAGGUUCAGGUCGGGCGGAGUGGGAGGCGUCGAGGCCGCGGCCCGGAAGUGGUCGAGGCGGUCGCAGACGGAAGGGUGAUCCCUCAUCGUUUGCUCGGCCGCGACCAGUAGCCUGCAGGACUCCAGCAGCUGUGUGCGCCGCCGCUUCUCUUGUUUUCUCGUCAGGCUGGAGACCUAGGCUCGCCACGCCAGGCCCGACCUGAGUAGUGAGUGGAGAAAGAGGGUGGGAGGCGAGGUCGAUGUAUGUGACCGGAGCGGACCGUGCAGAUUGCGAGCCGGCCUAAAAGGCUGCUCUUUGGCGUAAAUUGCAAUCGAUUAGGGAUCGUUUCUCAGACUCAAGUUAGAAGUGAGAGUUCAGAUAAGUGAGGCCGACAUUGCUGCCUUGAAGAAGGGGAGAAUGGAUUUAUCAGGAGUGAAAAAGAAGAGCUUGCUAGGAGUCAAAGAGAAUAAUAAAAAGUCCAGCACUAGGGCUCCUUCUCCUACCAAACGAAAGGACCGCUCUGAUGAGAAGUCCAAGGAUCGAUCUAAAGAUAAAGGGACCACUAAAGAGUCCAGUGAGAAGGAUCGUGGCAGAGAUAAGACCCGGAAGAGACGCAGUGCUUCAAGCGGAAGCAGCAGCACCAGGUCCAGGUCCAGCUCAACCUCCAGCUCGGGCUCCAGCACCAGCACGGGCUCGAGCAGUGGCUCUAGCUCGUCUUCUGCGUCCAGCCGCUCAGGAAGCUCCAGCACAUCCCGGAGCUCCAGUUCCAGCAGCUCCUCCGGCUCCCCAAGCCCUUCUCGGCGCAGACAUGACAACAGGCGGCGUUCCCGCUCCAA
rnacentral:lncRNA from 1 species